AAAGCUCGUAGUCGAAUCUGUGUCCCGCGCCGCCGGUUCAUCGUCCGCGGUGUUAACUGGCGUGUCGCGGGACGUCCUGCCGGUGGGCUUAGCUCGCGAGAGGGCCCAACUCAAUCCCGCCGCGGUGCUCUUCACUGAGUGUCGAGGUGGGCCGGCACGUUUACUUUGAACAAAUUAGAGUGCUUAAAGCAGGCUAAAACUUCGCCUGAAUACUGUGUGCAUGGAAUAAUGGAAUAGGACCUCGGUUCUAUUUUGUUGGUUUUCGGAACCCCGAGGUAAUGAUUAAUAGGAACGGAUGGGGGCAUUCGUAUUGCGACGUUAGAGGUGAAAUUCUUGGAUCGUCGCAAGACGGACAGAAGCGAAAGCAUUUGCCAAAAACGCUUUCAUUGAUCAAGAACGAAAGUUAGAGGUUCGAAGGCGAUCAGAUACCGCCCUAGUUCUAACCAUAAACGAUGCCAGCUAGCGAUCCGCCGACGUUCCUCCGAUGACUCGGCGGGCAGCUUCCGGGAAACCAAAGCUUUUGGGUUCCGGGGGAAGUAUGGUUGCAAAGCUGAAACU
rnacentral:rRNA from 1 species